rnacentral:tRNA from 1 species
GGGCUGCGGCUCAGUGGUAGAGUGCUUGCCAGGCAUGCAUGAGGCACUGGGUUUGAUCCCAGCACCACA